rnacentral:rRNA from 1 species
AUUGAACGCUGGCGGCAUGCUUUACACAUGCAAGUCGAACGGCAGCACGGGUGCUUGCACCUGGUGGCGAGUGGCGGACGGGUGAGUAAUACAUCGGAACGUGUCCAGAAGAGGGGGAUAACGCAUCGAAAGAUGUGCUAAUACCGCAUAUGCUCUGAGGAGGAAAGUGGGGGAUCGAAAGACCUUACGCUUUUGGAGCGGCCGAUGUCUGAUUAGCUAGUUGGUGGGGUAAGGGCCUACCAAGGCGACGAUCAGUAGUUGGUCUGAGAGGACGACCAGCCACACUGGGACUGAGACACGGCCCAGACUCCUACGGGAGGCAGCAGUGGGGAAUAUUGCGCAAUGGGCGAAAGCCUGACGCAGCCAUACCGCGUGUGUGAAGAAGGGCCUC